GUAGGGGACCCCCUGCAGCUCUCGGGGUACUCUCUGCAGCCCCCUCUCCAGCACUCUCUCCUGUGCUCUCUAGCCGCCUUGGUCAACUGCACUCUCAGCUCCAACUCUUCGAAUCAGGGGAGCCACCAGGUUCCUUGGGUUCCUCUCCCUGUGCUGCAGCCUGAGAACUCUCUCCAGGUGCACAGAGCAGGAAUGACUGUGUCCACUGACCUGUGAUGAGGACCCCGAGGCUCUGAGAAGUGGACUGGCCUGCUAGCCCUGACUCGCUGUGGACUCUGGCCCCAGGCUCCAACUUCAGGGCACUUUCUGCUGGAGCAGCAUCCUCAGGCAGCUGGCUGGGCAUCAGCAAAGAGGAGCUCCAGACCCAUCCCACACGGCUAGGAGCAGCUGGUCCUCUGUGUGGAUUUGGAAGUGCCAACCAUGCACCCGUUUUACAGCUGGGGUGAAGCAG
rnacentral:lncRNA from 1 species